CGUGCGCACGCGCCGAAUCCCGUAAGGGAACCGGGGAACCACCACCUUGGGGUGAAUCGGGCGUAAGCGGUCGUGUCCACACGGCUGAUUUACGCGCGUAGGAGACCUUCCUGCUCCGAACCCGUCAGCUAACCCGGUAGGCGAGAAGGAAGGAAAGG
rnacentral:sRNA from 2 species